GCCACACCCUCCAGACAAAAGAUUUUGCGUGUCCCCUGGGGAGGUUCGAGGACACAAAAAGACAGACACUCUACCGACCAUCUUUUACAACUACCGUAUUACUGGGGUUUACCAGCCAGACUAUUGGGCGCCAGAAAUGUGGAUUCAAAGGGGGGGGGGGNNNNNNNNNNNNNUCACUACCACAUUGUAACAGAAGUAUCCUGUAACUCCCUCCAUCACUACCACAUUGUAACAGAAGUAUCCUGUAACUCCCUCCAUCACUACCACAUUGUAACAGAAGUAUCCUGUAACUCCCUCCAUCACUACCACAUUGUAACAGAAGUAUCCUGUAACUCCCUCCAUCACUACCACAUUGUAACAGAAGUAUCCUGUAACUCCCUCCAUCACUACCACAUUGUAACAGAAGUAUCCUGUAACUCCCUCCGUCACUACCACAUUGUAACAGAAGUAUCCUGUAACUCCCUCCAUCACUACCACAUUGUAACAGAAAGACUGUAACUCCCUCCAUCACUACCACAUUGUAACAGAAGUCCUAACUCCCUCCAUCACUACCACAUUGUAACAGAACUCCCUCCAUNNNNNNNNNNGGUCUGAUUUGUUUACCCCAAAAUAUUAUCCAAGUCAAUUUAUAUAGGAGGUAAUGCAGCACAUUUUCUCCUAUAUAAAGCCUAUUGUCUAACAGGGAAUUUAAAUGUAAACAGCUUGAAAGCCAGACUAACACAUUAACUGAUUGUGUGCUCUGGGCACGUGGGCUACGAAUCUCUUUCCUAAAACAUCCCACUCUACUAGCGCUCGUGCCACUCAGACACAGUCCCCCCUCUCUCCAGCGCCCUCCCUCUGUCCCCCCUCUCUCCAGCUCCCUCCCUCUGUCCCAUAGCCCACCCUCUCUCUCCAGCUCCCUCCCUCUGUCCCACCUUCUCUCCAGCUCCCUCCCUCUGUCCCACAGCCCACCCUCUCUCUCCAGCUCCCUCCCUCUGUCCCACAGCCCA
rnacentral:lncRNA from 13 species